AAUAUAUAUAUAUUAAAUCAACCCGAAAUACGGGAAUUCAGAUUCGGUUACAAGCUCGAUUUGAACAAAAGCUCCUAAGUUAAUCUAUUACAUUCUAGUUUCGCCCACCCACUAAACCCGGCACGUUCCACUAGUCCGAUUUUUGAAAUCCUUAAGAAUUGGUUAUUGUUCUCAACCAUUGACGAUUAUCGCAGGAAGGUGAGGUUCUCCUCAUUUCUUCGGAUGCCGGGACUUCCUUUGUCGUCUCUGGAGUAGCUAGUUUCCAAUGAACGCCUCGAGACAUUGUUACCGUCACUGUCAAUGACGCACAUGACGAACUAGAGAAGUGGAGAACCAAGAACCUUACUGAGAAGACGCUCGAGAGCCCAAUCUGUACACACUUCCAAGUUGCCAUAAACCGAACAAAGGCGGGCUGAUAUCAUCGCCACCACCAAUCCAUUAAGCCUCCUGAACCUGCAAGGAAAAUCAAGACCACCGCAAGAGAGCAAGAGUUCUGAACGGUGCCGGGACAUAGUCUGAGAUCAAGCGAUGCCUUUACGACUUUGAUCAAGCGAUGUUCUGAACGGUGCCGGGACAUAGUCUGAGAGCAAGAGUUCUGAACGGUGCCGGGACAUAGUCUGAGAGCAAGAGAGCAAGAUUUGAUGCUUUAAACAGGUUCAGGCUGAACGUGGUCUCUGUUUACUGUCUUUGUUAUAUGAUUUGUUCUCUUUGGUUUAUUUGUUUUUUUCUUUGGAUUAUGUCUUUGUGGAGUCAACUAUUAUUUUUGUUUUUGGUUUCUUAGGGUAAAGGCUUCAUCUUUGGUUUUAAUGUUUCAAUGUGGCAUGUUAAGUUUGUAUGUUUCAAUGUUCAUGUUUUAUGUUCAAGGUCGUGUGAUCGUUUGUUGUAUGUUUCAUGUUGUUGUUCUGUUUUGGUAAUGAAAUGCUGUUUUUGUUUCAUGUUCUUCUUCUGUAACGACAAGCUGUUUCUGUUUCAUGUUAUUGUGUUGUGUUACCAUUGUGAAGAUAUACCAAAGAUUAUUUUCAUUGUUGUUCUUGUGUUGUGUUGGCUUUGGUUUCAGAGUGGAGAAUUGGGAGCACUGGGCGUGAUGAUCACGGAGCAUCUGUGUGUUGUGUUGUCUUGUGAUGUAUUCUUGUGGUGAAGUCAUAAAUCAUUACUUGUCACAUGUUUUAUAUUCUUGUAGAAGUGGUCUUGUGGUCUAGUUUUAUUGUGUCACGGAAGUGGAACAACGCUUGAUUCAUUGCAAUGUUGAUUUUAACAAGUUAUUUUUUUGUUUUUUUAAGAACCUUUGAUUAAGAAACUACCAUUGAAAC
rnacentral:lncRNA from 1 species